rnacentral:rRNA from 1 species
GGAGGGGGCUAGCGUUGUUCGGAAUUAUUGGGCGUAAAGGGCGCGUAGGCGGCUUUGCAAGUCGGAGGUGAAAUCCCUCGGCUCAACCGAGGAACUGCCUCCGAAACUGCAGAGCUUGAGUCCCGGAGAGGAUAGCGGAAUUCCCAGUGUAGCGGUGAAAUGCGUAGAUAUUGGGAGGAACACCAGUGGCGAAGGCGGCUAUCUGGACGGGUACUGACGCUGAGGCGCGAAAGCGUGGGGAGCAAACAGGGAUUAGAUACCCUGGUAGUCCACGCUGUAAACGAUGGGCACUUGGUGUUGCGGGUAUCGACCCCCCCUGCAGUGCCGAAGCUAACGCAUUAAGUGCCCCCCGCCUGGGGAGUACGGUCGCAAGGCUG